GACGAACGCUGGCGGCGUGCUUAACACAUGCAAGUCGAACGGAAAGGCCCUGCUUUUGUGGGGUGCUCGAGUGGCGAACGGGUGAGUAACACGUGAGUAACCUGCCCUUGACUUUGGGAUAACUUCAGGAAACUGGGGCUAAUACCGGAUAGGAGCUCCUGCUGCAUGGGGGGGGUUGGAAAGUUUCGGCGGUUGGGGAUGGACUCGCGGCUUAUCAGCUUGUUGGGGGGGUAGGGGCUUACCAAGGCUUUGACGGGUAGCCGGCCUGAGAGGGUGACCGGGCACAUUGGGACUGAGAUACGGCGCAGAAUCCUACGGGAGGCAGCAGUGGGGAAUAUUGCACAAUGGGCGGAAGCCUGAUGCAGAAACGCCGCGUGCGGGAUGACGGCCUUCGGGUUGUAAACCGCUUUCGCCUGUGACGAAGCGUGAGUGACGGUAAUGGGUAAAGAAGCACCGGCUAACUACGUG
rnacentral:rRNA from 1 species